GAAAGCCUGUUAACUACAACAUCUUCUGAAUGCAACUCAAACGCUUUUAUUAAGCUAA
rnacentral:tRNA from 1 species